rnacentral:rRNA from 1 species
GAUGAACGCUAGCUACAGGCUUAACACAUGCAAGUCGAGGGGCAGCGGGAUUGAAGCUUGCUUCAAUUGCCGGCGACCGGCGCACGGGUGAGUAACGCGUAUCCAACCUUCCGUACACUCAGGGAUAGCCUUUCGAAAGAAAGAUUAAUACCUGAUGGCAUGAUGAGAUUGCAUGAUAUCAUCAUUAAAGAUUUAUCGGUGUACGAUGGGGAUGCGUUCCAUUAGGUAGUAGGCGGGGUAACGGCCCACCUAGCCAACGAUGGAUAGGGGUUCUGGGAGGAAGGUCCCCCACAUUGGAACUGAGACACGGUCCAAACUCCUACGGGAGGCAGCAGUGAGGAAUAUUGGUCAAUGGACGAGAGUCUGAACCAGCCAAGUAGCGUGAAGGAUGAAGGUCCUACGGAUUGUAAACUUCUUUUAUAAGGGAAUAAACCCUCCCACGUGUGGGAGCUUGUAUGUACCUUAUGAAUAAGCAUCGGCUAACUCCGUG